ACACGGAGCAGGGAUCUCGAGACACUGAGUUAGAACACAGUGAUUGAGUUAGAAAACAGUGAUUGAGUUAGAAUACAGUGAUUGAGUUAGAGUACAGUGGGUUGAGCUAGAAUACAUUGAUUGAGUUAGAAUACAGUGGAUUGGGUUAUAAUACAGUGGAUUGAGUUGGAAUACAGUGAUUGAAUUAAAAUACAGUGGAUUGAGUUAGAAUACAGUGGAUUGAGUUAGAAUUCAAUGGAUUGAGUUAGAAUACAGUGGAUUGAGUUAGAAUACAGUGGAUUGAGUUAGAAUACAGUGG